GCCCUUGUAGUUCAAUGGAUAGAACAGAUCCGUCCUAAGGAUAAAAUGGGGGUUCGAUUCCCUCCAAGGGCA
rnacentral:tRNA from 1 species